rnacentral:rRNA from 1 species
GGGUUGUGAGGUUAAGCGACUAAGCGUACACGGUGGAUGCCCUGGCAGUCAGAGGCGAUGAAGGACGUGCUAAUCUGCGAAAAGCGCCGGCGAGGUGAUAUGAACCUUUGACCCGGCGAUGUCCGAAUGGGGAAACCCAGUGCAAUCCGUUGCACUAUCGUUAACUGAAUACAUAGGUUAACGAGGCGAACCGGGGGAACUGAAACAUCUAAGUACCCCGAGGAAAAGAAAUCAACCGAGAUUCCCCCAGUAGCGGCGAGCGAACGGGGAGCAGCCCGGAGUCUGAAUCAGCUUGUGUGUUAGUGGAACGGUCUGGAAAGUCCGACGGUACAGGGUGAUAGUCCCGUACACGAAAGCACACAUGCUGUGAACUCGAAGAGUAGGGCGGGACACGUGGUAUCCUGUCUGAAUAUGGGGGGACCAUCCUCCAAGGCUAAAUACUCCUGACUGACCGAUAGUGAACCAGUACCGUGAGGGAAAGGCGAAAAGAACCCCGGCGAGGGGAGUGAAAAAGAACCUGAAACCGUGUACGUACAAGCAGUGGGAGCCUCUUUAUGGGGUGACUGCGUACCUUUUGUAUAAUGGGUCAGCGACUUAUAUUCUGUAGCAAGGUUAACCGUAUAGGGGAGCCGAAGGGAAACCGAGUCUUAACUGGGCGUUAAGUUGCAGGGUAUAGACCCGAAACCCGGUGAUCUAGCCAUGGGCAGGUUGAAGGUUGGGUAACACUAACUGGAGGACCGAACCGACUAAUGUUGAAAAAUUAGCGGAUGACCUGUGGCUGGGGGUGAAAGGCCAAUCAAACCGGGAGAUAGCUGGUUCUCCCCGAAAGCUAUUUAGGUAGCGCCUCGUGAACUCAUCUUCGGGGGUAGAGCACUGUUUCGGCUAGGGGGCCAUCCCGGCUUACCAACCCGAUGCAAACUACGAAUACCGAAGAAUGUUAUCACGGGAGACACACGGCGGGUGCUAACGUCCGUCGUGAAGAGGGAAACAACCCAGACCGCCAGCUAAGGUCCCAAAGUCAUGGUUAAGUGGGAAACGAUGUGGGAAGGCACAGACAGCCAGGAUGUUGGCUUAGAAGCAGCCAUCAUUUAAAGAAAGCGUAAUAGCUCACUGGUCGAGUCGGCCUGCGCGGAAGAUGUAACGGGGCUAAACCAUGCACCGAAGCUGCGGCAGCGACACUAUGUGUUGUUGGGUAGGGGAGCGUUCUGUAAGCCGUUGAAGGUGUCCUGUGAGGGGUGCUGGAGGUAUCAGAAGUGCGAAUGCUGACAUAAGUAACGAUAAAGCGGGUGAAAAGCCCGCUCGCCGGAAGACCAAGGGUUCCUGUCCAACGUUAAUCGGGGCAGGGUGAGUCGACCCCUAAGGCGAGGCCGAAAGGCGUAGUCGAUGGGAAACAGGUUAAUAUUCCUGUACUUGGUGUUACUGCGAAGGGGGGACGGAGAAGGCUAUGUCAGCCGGGCGACGGUUGUCCCGGUUUAAGCAUGUAGGCGGAGGUUCCAGGUAAAUCCGGUACCUUGUUAACGCUGAGGUGUGAUGACGAGGCACUACGGUGCUGAAGUGAUAAAUGCCCUGCUUCCAGGAAAAGCCUCUAAGCAUCAGGUAACACGAAAUCGUACCCCAAACCGACACAGGUGGUCAGGUAGAGAAUACCAAGGCGCUUGAGAGAACUCGGGUGAAGGAACUAGGCAAAAUGGUGCCGUAACUUCGGGAGAAGGCACGCUGAUGUGUAGGUGAAGUCCCUGCGGACGGAGCUGAAAUCAGUCGAAGAUACCAGCUGGCUGCAACUGUUUAUUAAAAACACAGCACUGUGCAAACACGAAAGUGGACGUAUACGGUGUGACGCCUGCCCGGUGCCGGAAGGUUAAUUGAUGGGGUUAGCGGCAACGCGAAGCUCUUGAUCGAAGCCCCGGUAAACGGCGGCCGUAACUAUAACGGUCCUAAGGUAGCGAAAUUCCUUGUCGGGUAAGUUCCGACCUGCACGAAUGGCGUAAUGAUGGCCAGGCUGUCUCCACCCGAGACUCAGUGAAAUUGAACUCGCUGUGAAGAUGCAGUGUACCCGCGGCAAGACGGAAAGACCCCGUGAACCUUUACUAUAGCUUGACACUGAACACUGGUCCUUGAUGUGUAGGAUAGGUGGGAGGCUUUGAAGCGUGGACGCCAGUCUGCGUGGAGCCAACCUUGAAAUACCACCCUUUAAUGGCUGGUGUUCUAACGUAGACCCGUAAUCCGGGUUGCGGACAGUGUCUGGUGGGUAGUUUGACUGGGGCGGUCUCCUCCCAAAGAGUAACGGAGGAGCACGAAGGUUGGCUAAUCCUGGUCGGACAUCAGGAGGUUAGUGCAAUGGCAUAAGCCAGCUUGACUGCGAGCGUGACGGCGCGAGCAGGUGCGAAAGCAGGUCAUAGUGAUCCGGUGGUUCUGAAUGGAAGGGCCAUCGCUCAACGGAUAAAAGGUACUCCGGGGAUAACAGGCUGAUACCGCCCAAGAGUUCAUAUCGACGGCGGUGUUUGGCACCUCGAUGUCGGCUCAUCACAUCCUGGGGCUGAAGUAGGUCCCAAGGGUAUGGCUGUUCGCCAUUUAAAGUGGUACGCGAGCUGGGUUUAGAACGUCGUGAGACAGUUCGGUCCCUAUCUGCCGUGGGCGCUGGAGAAUUGAGGGGGGCUGCUCCUAGUACGAGAGGACCGGAGUGGACGCAUCACUGGUGUUCGGGUUGUCAUGCCAAUGGCACUGCCCGGUAGCUAAAUGCGGAAGAGAUAAGUGCUGAAAGCAUCUAAGCACGAAACUUGCCCCGAGAUGAGUUCUCCCUGAGACCUUGAGUCUCCUGAAGGAACGUUGAAGACGACGACGUUGAUAGGUCGGGUGUGUAAGCGCAGCGAUGCGUUGAGCUAACCGAUACUAAUGAACCGUGAGGCUUAACCUUACAACGCCGAAGCUGUU